rnacentral:rRNA from 1 species
CAGAGGGUGCAAGCGUUGUUCGGAAUUAUUGGGCGUAAAGCGCGUGUAGGCGGCAUUGCAAGUCGGGUGUGAAAGCCCUGGGCUCAACCCAGGAAGUGCGCCCGAAACUGCUUUGCUUGAGUACCGGAGAGGGUAGCGGAAUUCCCCAAGUAGAGGUGAAAUUCGUAGAUAUGGGGAGGAACACCGGUGGCGAAGGCGGCUACCUGGACGGAUACUGACGCUGAGACGCGAAAGCGUGGGUAGCAAACAGGAUUAGAUACCCUGGUAGUCCACGCUGUAAACGAUGAGAACUAGGUGUCGUGGGUGUUGACCCCCGCGGUGCCGUAGCUAACGCAUUAAGUUCUCCGCCUGGGAAGUACGGCCGCAAGGCUA